rnacentral:rRNA from 1 species
CCUACGGGUGGCAGCAGUAGGGAAUAUUGCUCAAUGGGGGAAACCCUGAAGCAGCAACGCCGCGUGGAGGAUGAAGGUUUUCGGAUUGUAAACUCCUUUUGUUAGAGAAGAUAAUGACGGUAUCUAACUAAUAAGCACCGGCUGACUCCGUGCCAGCAGCCGCGGUAAUACGUGGGGUGCAAGCGUUACUCGGAAUCACUGUGCGUAAAGAGCGCGUAGGCGGAUAGCAAGUAAGAGGUGAAAUCCUAUGGCUUAACCAUAGAACUGCAUUUGAAACUGGUAUACUAGAGUAUGGGAGAGGUAGGUGGAAUUCUAGGUGUAGGGGUAAAAUCCGUAGAGAUCAAGAGGAAUACUCAAGGCGAAGGCGACCUGCUAGAACAUAACUGACGCUGAUGCGCGAAAGCGUGGGGAGCAAACAGGAUUAGAUACCCCUGUAGUC